rnacentral:rRNA from 1 species
UACGAAGGUGGCAAGCGUUGUUCGGAUUUACUGGGCGUACAGGGAGCGUAGGCGGUUGGAUAAGCCCUCCGUGAAAUCUCCAGGCUUAACCUGGAAAGUGCAGAGGGGACUGUUCAGCUAGAGGAUGGGAGAGGAGCGCGGAAUCCCCGGCGUAGCGGUGAAAUGCGUAGAGAUCGGGAGGAAGGCCGGUGGCGAAGGCGGCGCUCUGGAACAUUUCUGACGCUGAGGCUCGAAAGCGUGGGGAGCAAACAGG